UGGGAGCUUGCUCCCUGAUGUUAGCGGCGGACGGGUGAGUAACACGUGGGUAACCUGCCUGUAAGACUGGGAUAACUCCGGGAAACCGGGGCUAAUACCGGAUGGUUGUUUGAACCGCAUGGUUCAGACAUAAAAGGUGGCUUCGGCUACCACUUACAGAUGGACCCGCGGCGCAUUAGCUAGUUGGUGAGGUAACGGCUCACCAAGGCGACGAUGCGUAGCCGACCUGAGAGGGUGAUCGGCCACACUGGGACUGAGACACGGCCCAGACUCCUACGGGAGGCAGCAGUAGGGAAUCUUCCGCAAUGGACGAAAGUCUGACGGAGCAACGCCGCGUGAGUGAUGAAGGUUUUCGGAUCGUAAAGCUCUGUUGUUAGGGAAGAACAAGUGCCGUUCAAAUAGGGCGGCACCUUGACGGUACCUAACCAGAAAGCCACGGCUAACUACGUGCCAGCAGCCGCGGUAAUACGUAGGUGGCAAGCGUUGUCCGGAAUUAUUGGGCGUAAAGGGCUCGCAGGCGGUUUCUUAAGUCUGAUGUGAAAGCCCCCGGCUCAACCGGGGAGGGUCAUUGGAAACUGGGGAACUUGAGUGCAGAAGAGGAGAGUGGAAUUCCACGUGUAGCGGUGAAAUGCGUAGAGAUGUGGAGGAACACCAGUGGCGAAGGCGACUCUCUGGUCUGUAACUGACGCUGAGGAGCGAAAGCGUGGGGAGCGAACAGGAUUAGAUACCCUGGUAGUCCACGCCGUAAACGAUGAG
rnacentral:rRNA from 1 species